rnacentral:rRNA from 1 species
AUGGUGAAAACUCAAACUCUGAAAAAGUUUCGGCGGGCUUCCAGGAGGAGCGCCGCCAGUCCCAAUGAGUCACCUAUUUUGGACUGUCGGGGGGCGGGGAACCGCCGAACAGUUCGUGAAGUUGUGGCUCUUGUAAAAGCCCAUUCCCUAAGUUUGGUCUUUCUUGCUGAAACAAGACAGACCAGUACAAAAAUUGAAAGAUUGAAGUGGAAAUUAGGACUGAAAUGUUUCUGUGGCAUGGAUUGUGAAGGCCGUGGCGGGGGACUAGCUUUGUUCUAG